AUGGACAUGAAGGCCUAUUCUCAGUUUCUUGGGUUCUUGUUGCUCUGCUUUGCAGGUGCCAGAUGCAACAUCCAGAUGACCCAGUCUUCAUCCUCCAUGCCUGCAUCUCUGAUAGACAGAGAAAUUCUUGCUUGCCGGGCAAGUCAGGACAUUAGGAAUUAUUUAAGCUGGUACCAGCAGAAACCAGGAAAAUCUCCUAAGCUCAUGAUUUCUGGUGGAACCAACUUGGCAGCUAGGAUCCCAUCAAGGUUCAGUGGCAGUAGGUCUGGGUCAGAUUAUUCUCUCACCAUCAGCAGCCUGGAGUCUGAAGAUGAGGCAGACUAUCACUGUCUACAGUAUGAUGAGUCUCCUCCCACAGUGAUACAAGUCAUAACAUAA